ensembl:miRNA xtr-mir-144 xtr-mir-144
UUUGGGAUAUCAUCAUAUACUGUAAGUUUGUUUUAAGACACUACAGUAUAGAUGAUGUACUA